AGGAGGAACAGCAACAGUGGCGGCGGCCAGCUCUGGAGCCCUGGAGUCAGCUCCGGCAGGAACUAUGGAGCUCUCAGUCUGCAGGGGCCUGGAUGCCCCGGGGGGCG
rnacentral:pre_miRNA from 1 species